AAUAGAUACCCGGGUAGUCCACGCCGUAAACGAUGAGUGCUAAGUGUUAGAGGGUUUCCGCCCUUUAGUGCUGCAGCUAACGCAUUAAGCACUCCGCCUGGGGAGUACGGUCGCAAGACUGAAACUCAAAGGAAUUGACGGGGGCCCGCACAAGCGGUGGAGCAUGUGGUUUAAUUCGAAGCAACGCGAAGAACCUUACCAGGUCUUGACAUCCUCUGACAACUCUAGAGAUAGAGUGUUCCCCUUCGGGGGACAGAGUGACAGGUGGUGCAUGGUUGUCGUCAGCUCGUGUCGUGAGAUGUUGGGUUAAGUCCCGCAACGAGCGCAACCCUUGAUCUUAGUUGCCAGCAUUUAGUUGGGCACUCUAAGGUGACUGCCGGUGACAAACCGGAGGAAGGUGGGGAUGACGUCAAAUCAUCAUGCCCCUUAUGACCUGGACUACACACGUGCUACAAUGGAUGGUACAAAGGGCUGCAAGACCGCGAGGUCAAGCCAAUCCCAUAAAACCAUUCUCAGUUCGGA
rnacentral:rRNA from 1 species